rnacentral:rRNA from 1 species
UUUGAAAGGGAAACGAUUGAAGUCAGUCGUACCGGCGGGUAACCAGCCUUUUGGGUGUGAUUAUGUGGAGCGUGAGGAGUUAAUCACCCUCAUCUUUUCAUAUUCGUGCACUUUGGGUGUACUUGCUCGUGUGUAGGUUAACAUCAAUUUUGAUUAUCAUAAAAUGAUUGAAGGAAUGUAGCUUCGAUCUUGUAUUGAAGUGUUAUAGCCUUUGGUAGAUGUGAUGAUCGAGAUUGAGGAUUGCAACGGAUACCCUUCGGGCUACCUGUCUGAUCUCUGAAAGUUGCUCUGGUGCUGAAAGCUUGCUUAUGGUAUCAAGGUGACGUCUAAAAGUG